rnacentral:rRNA from 1 species
GUUGGGUUAAGUCCCGCAACGAGCGCAACCCUUGUCAUUAGUUGCUACGCAAGAGCACUCUAAUGAGACUGCCGGUGACAAACCGGAGGAAGGUGGGGAUGACGUCAAGUCCUCAUGGCCCUUAUGGGUAGGGCUUCACACGUCAUACAAUGGUCGGGACAGAGGGUCGCCAACCCGCGAGGGGGAGCCAAUCUCAGAAACCCGAUCGUAGUCCGGAUCGCAGUCUGCAACUCGACUGCGUGAAGUCGGAAUCGCUAGUAAUCGCGGAUCAGAAUGUCGCGGUGAAUACGUUCCCGGGUCUUGUACACACCGCCCGUCACACCAUGGGAGUGGGUUUCACCAGAAGUAGGUAGCCUAACCGUAAGGAGGGCGCUUACCACGGUGGGAUUCAUGACUGGGUGAAGUCGUAA